rnacentral:rRNA from 1 species
GUGGGGAAUCUUAGACAAUGGGGGAAACCCUGAUCUAGCCAUGCCGCGUGAGCGAUGAAGGCCUUAGGGUUGUAAAGCUCUUUCAGCUGGGAAGAUAAUGACGGUACCAGCAGAAGAAGCCCCGGCUAACUCCGUGCCAGCAGCCGCGGUAAUACGGAGGGGGCUAGCGUUGUUCGGAAUUACUGGGCGUAAAGCGCGCGUAGGCGGACCAGAAAGUUGGAGGUGAAAUCCCAGGGCUCAACCUUGGAACUGCCUUCAAAACUCCUGGUCUGGAGUUCGAGAGAGGUGAGUGGAAUUCCGAGUGUAGAGGUGAAAUUCGUAGGUAUUCGGAGGAACACCAGUGGCGAAGGCGGCUCACUGGCUCGAUACUGACGCUGAGGUGCGAAAGCGUGGGGAGCAAACAGGAUUAGAAACCCCUGUAGUCC